rnacentral:lncRNA from 1 species
GCUCAAUAUGAUGAUAAUAUUUUUUCUUUAAAAGAAUGAUGAUAUUAAUAUUUUUACUCAUAUAUUUUAACUAAAUAAUUUAUUCUACUCACAACAUACCGAAUAAUAUAUUAGAAUGUACUUCAAUCCCAAAUAUUGAUUCUAUAUACCCCUUCAAACCCAAUUCUUCAAAAGUUGCAGACUGCGUACCUGGGCCCGUACCGUACCACAUGCCUAAGCAAAUUAGGAACUAUCAAAUUUGAAGUUCUUUCUAUUUGAAUCAUCUUUCAUGAUACUUUGCAAGAAUGUCCCAGGCUUUGUGCGCAUUCCUCUGAACUUCAGUUGCAUCUACAACUAAUCAUGGAUACCAUUUUGCACUAUUUCCAGUAAAUCCAAUGCUCCAAACAAACUCUUCAUCACUGCACUCCUUCUUUCCCAAUUUCUUCCUUCAAGAUUUGAAAGAUGAGUGUUGAAACUAUUGCUACGCUUUAAUUGUGUAAUUGAAGAUUUCUUGCUCCCCUAGAACAAAACAAAAGGCUCCUAAUACCAAUUUGUUAGCGCAGUUUACAAUGCUUGUUCAGUACUAGGAAAAUAUGAGAAAAUAAAAAGAAAAGAGAAUGAGAGUUAGAGUUAUGUAAAUUAUGAUUUCAUUAAAUUGUAAUCACACAUACAAAUGUUCAUAUACAAAAUGUUGUUGAAUUACUUAGAAACAAGUCAUCUCUCAAACCCUAACAACCUAAUUUUCAACAAACAAAAGUAUCUUGAUUACUAUGUGAUUUAA